rnacentral:rRNA from 1 species
GAUGAACGCUGGCGGCGUGCCUAAUACAUGCAAGUCGAACGCUGGAAAUCUAGCUUGCUAGCUUGAAGGAGUGGCGAACGGGUGAGUAAUACAUAAGCAACCUACCCACGAAGACUGGGAUAAUCUCUGGAAACGGGGACUAAUACCGGAUAGGUAAUCGGAAGGCAUCUUCUGAUUAUUAAAGGUUAAAAACACUGGUGGAUGGGCUUAUGGCGCAUUAGUUAGUUGGUGAGGUAACGGCCCACCAAGACGAUGAUGCGUAGCCGGCCUGAAAGGGUGAACGGCCACAUUGGGACUGAGACACGGCCCAGACUCCUACGGGAGGCAGCAGUAGGGAAUUUUCGGCAAUGGGGGAAACCCUGACCGAGCAACGCCGCGUGAGUGAUGACGGCCUUCGGGUUGUAAAGCUCUGUUGUAAGGGAAGAACGGUAGAUAGAGAAUAUCUAAAUGACGGUACCUUACCAGAAAGCCACGGCUAACUACGUG